rnacentral:rRNA from 1 species
AGCGAACGCUGGCGGCAGGCCUAACACAUGCAAGUCGAACGAACCUUUCGGGGUUAGUGGCGGACGGGUGAGUAACACGUGGGAACGUGCCUUUAGGUUCGGAAUAACUCAGGGAAACUUGUGCUAAUACCGAAUGUGCCCUUCGGGGGAAAGAUUUAUCGCCUUUAGAGCGGCCCGCGUCUGAUUAGCUAGUUGGUUGAGGUAAUGGCUCACCAAGGCGACGAUCAGUAGCUGGUCUGAGAGGAUGAUCAGGCACAUUGGGACUGAGACACGGCCCAAACUCCUACGGGAGGCAGCAGUGGGGAAUCUUGCGCAAUGGGCGAAAGCCUGACGCAGCCAUGCCGCGUGAAUGAUGAAGGUCUUAGGAUUGUAAAAUUCUUUCACCGGGGACGAUAAUGACGGUACCCGGAGAAGAAGCCCCGGCUAACUUCGUG